ACGGAAGGCAGCAGUGGGGAAUCUUCCGCAAUGGGCGCAAGCCUGACGGAGCAACGCCGCGUGAGUGAAGAAGGUCUUCGGAUCGUAAAGCUCUGUUGAGAGGGACGAGAGUUAAUGUCAGGGAAUGGUCAUUAGAGGACGGUACCUUUCGAGGAAGCCACGGCUAACUACGUGCCAGCAGCCGCGGUAAUACGUAGGUGGCGAGCGUUAUCCGGAAUUAUUGGGCGUAAAGGGAGCGUAGGUGGGACUUCAAGUCAGUCUUAAAAGUGCGGAGCUCAACCCCGUGAUGGGAUAGAAACUGUAGUUCUUGAGUGCAGGAGAGGAAAGCGGAAUUCCAUGUGUAGCGGUGAAAUGCGUAGAUAUUAGGAGGAACACCAGUGGCGAAGGCGGUUUUCUGGACUGUAACUGACACUGAGGCUCGAAAGCGUGGGGAGCGAACAGGAUUAGAUACCCUGGUA
rnacentral:rRNA from 1 species